rnacentral:lncRNA from 1 species
ACCAUCCUUAUUUAUUUUAAUGCUCAAAUUGUCCCAAAUUAUGGCCAAAGAAAGCUCCUUCAAACUGGUUGCUAUGUCCUUUUGACAUGGCCCAUCAUUCUUUAAACACAUUUUACAUCUGGCACAAUAACGUGCUACAUACCCAUCUUGUAUUUUUCCUGCCCCAUCUUUGAAAUCAGCCAUUCUCAAGGGGUUCCUUCUUAAUCUGGCUGUUGUUGUGUUGGAACUCCUGGUACCAUCUUAGAACCUUAAGGAGACAAGCGAACCAAGCCAAUAAGCUUUCCAUGAUGCUGCUUAGAGUUAAACAGAGCCCAGGUACUAAGUUAUGUCAUGGAGACAGUGAACUAACCUCUGGACUGCUUGCUACAUGAGACAAUUGAUUUUCUUAUUUUCUAUGUAGGGUGGUACAUUUCCUCAUUUUGAGAUAUUUCUUCAACAUAUAGCUUUUCAUUAGUGGGGAUUUUGUCAAUUAUAACCAAAAACAAUGUGACGGAUACCCAAGAUGUUUCAUGUUGUAGCUUGGGUGAAUUACACAUUUCUGAAGCCAUUACACUUCCUAGUUUAUUUGGAUUUAAGUUGACAAAUAAAAAUUGCAUAUGUUUAUGGUCUAUAACAUGGUGUUUCGAUAUAUGUAUACAUCGUGGAAUGGCUAAAUCAAGCUAACAUAUCCAUUACCUCACAUAGUUAUUUUUUGUGGUGAGAACAUUUUAAAAAUAUUGUCUUAGCAAUUUUCAAUCAAGCCUGUCCCAUGGAGACACAAGCAAUAGUGACAUGAGCACUUGACUCGCUGGGUUAUCAGGCUUUGGCUCCAAAUGUUUGGCUUCAAAUAUGAAAAAGUUACAUGAAAGAUGAAACUAUGCAAUGGCAUGGCUGUUGGUCAUUCACAUCUCUCUCUGCCAAGAAUGGGGAUGACGCUGUUGAAGGAAGAAAUGUGUUUUCUCCUUUUUCUCAAGUGAUAUUUGCCUUAGGUCAGAUUCUACUAGUUUAAAGCAAAACGAUCUCCUGGUCUGAUUCCUUUGGGUCUCUAAUAAUGGAAACUGCAAGGAUCAGCAUAAAGUGUUCCUUUGUUCUGACGUUGGUAUAACAUUGCUUCUUGAAAAAUGAAAGUAUUUGGACAUACAGACAGAAGCAAUAUUAUUCAGGUCUUCCUUGUUGCAAGUGAGGGAAAUCCAAUUAAAACUGGUUUAAACC